UGGGCUCGCUCCAUUGUGCUCGUAUUUGCAUGGAUGUGAUCGCUGCACUGAUUGGCUCACAAGGGGCCGCCCCGCCCCCCUCCAGUCAGAGACGCCGCUGUGCGCGGCCCCGCCCCCGGGGACAGAGAGGAGAGGCAAAGCUCCCGCACGUCCGGAAACGAUGCUGAGAGGCCAAGCGAAGAGACGUGAGCCGCGGCGUCUGUCUCCAGUCACACCUCCUGCUGCUGUCAGGAUCCCUGGCUUCUGCUCCAAGACCCUGCACACCGCGGAACUUGUCCAGCCCCGGGGAUCCUGCAGCACCUUGGCUAUACCUCCGUAAAAUUAGAUAUUGAGCCAUGGUAUAUUUAUUUUCAGGCCUAUCUCUGACAACACCCUUGUAGCAUCCUCAAGGACAGAGCCGAGCAUAUGGCAGAGAUUCAACUAAUUGUAUUCCCUAAUUCGUUCGUUAGCAGCUAAUUUUUAUGUGCCCACUAAAUACCAGACAUUGAUCCAAGACAGAGGAUACAGCAGUCAAUAGGACAAAGCCCUUGUUCUUAAAGAAUAAGUGAAAGAAAAACAAUAAAUAAAUACAAAAGGCAGCUAGUGAUAAGUGCCACACAGAAAAUAAAUGGAAGGAGGAAGGAAAUUAGUUCAGUCAUGGAAAGGAGCAAUUAGGAAGGGAAGGAUAGAGAGUCUGCCCUGCAUGGCUGAAUUCUCCUCGCAGCAUCUCAUAACUACCCCUCCCACUCAGAAUUAACGAUUACCUCUGUCCUCACCCCCUGUCUGCCCUAUCGUGGGUCCUUCUUCAAUACUCACUGAGAAACUGGUUGGAUUUGGACUAGAGUCUCAUUUUACUUUAAUUAAAACAGGAAUGAUCCAA